CUACUUUAUUGAUCACACUACACACAAGACAACAUGGGAGGACCCCAGGUUAAAGAGGCCAGAGGCAAUUCCUUUGACUCAGUUUAAGAUUCAAGCUCAAAUAUGUAUUUAUACAAGUUCCUUUUUCGAAGUGAAAUUUAUGUAGAGCUGCUAAAACUACCAGAAAAAGUCAGAGUCCAGAGUUCAUAGCAUGUCUAAAAGCAGAACAGGAUAUUGGAGUAUGAAAGAAUGGUUUCAAAUAUUGAGCGAAAGUUAGGGAGUCAUUUCUGGUAGGGCUGAGACAUUGGGGCACAGGGGAACCAAGCAAAGACAAAUUCUUGAGAAGAGACCACUAUAAAGACUUUGACCUUUUCACUCUGAUGGCAAACAGUUGUCCUCAAUGAUCAACUUCCUGUUAUCCAUAAUUGCAACAUUCACAUUUGGUUACAUUUCGUCACAGUAAACCUUUCCUUCCAUUGCUGUGGUGUCUGUAAAUGGGGUGGAUAUGUACAGAGCCACAAAGCUGCCUGUAAAAUAUCCUCCAUGCUCAGAGAGAUGGGCUUCUGCUUCUGCUUCUGCAAAAUCCCUCUGGAACAAGUUAAAGCUCGCCAGAGUGAGAGAGGGCUGUGAAGUUAAGAUUAACUUAGACCCAAAAUCAUGGCCUCUACCUUCAGAAAACGUCUUCAGAUGCAACUUUCAGUCAAUUGCAGUCUAAAAUUAACCUUUGAACCCUUGUCAACGAAAAUGGAGAAUUUAAAGGGAAUUUUAAUAUGACAGUUCAGCUAAAAGGCAGUGAACUGAGUAAUCCAUGACCUGGUUGGAAUCAAAUAACAAACCAUAAUUGUUUCUUUUUGUUUCAGCGAGUGAUUAUUAGAGUUUUGCUGGCAUUUAUCAGAGCAAUUGCUGAACUGUUUUUCAUGGCUAAAGUUGAGAUUUGAUUGAGAUAAAAAUUAGUUUUCAAUUCAAAAUAAAAUGUUUUUUUUGCUGUAAAUGAUGAAAUGGAAGAAACAUCUAAUCUGAAAUGUUAAUGGUAGUUGCACUUGACAAGUGCAUGUGAGCUUAAAGUGAUGUUGCACUGAAUACUAUUUCCUCCAUCUUUUGU